rnacentral:rRNA from 1 species
AGCGAACGCUGGCGGCAGGCUUAACACAUGCAAGUCGAGCGGGCACUUUCGGGUGUCAGCGGCGGACGGGUGAGUAACGCGUGGGAACGUGCCCUCUGGUUCGGAAUAACUCAGGGAAACUUGAGCUAAUACCGGAUACGCCCUUUUGGGGAAAGGCUUGCUGCCGGAGGAUCGGCCCGCGUCUGAUUAGCUAGUUGGUGAGGUAACGGCUCACCAAGGCGACGAUCAGUAGCUGGUCUGAGAGGAUGAUCAGCCACACUGGGACUGAGACACGGCCCAGACUCCUACGGGAGGCAGCAGUGGGGAAUAUUGGACAAUGGGCGCAAGCCUGAUCCAGCCAUGCCGCGUAAGUGAUGAAGGCCUUAGGGUUGUAAAGCUCUUUUAUCCGGGACGAUAAUGACGGUACCGGAGGAAUAAGCCCCGGCUAACUUCGUG